CCUACGGGCGGCAGCAGUGAGGAAUAUUGGUCAAUGGGCGGGAGCCUGAACCAGCCAAGUCGCGUGAGGGAAGACGGUCCUAUGGAUUGUAAACCUCUUUAGGCGGGGAGCAAUGCCGGGCACGUGUGCCCGGAGGGAGAGUACCCGCAGAAUAAGCAUCGGCUAACUCCGUGCCAGCAGCCGCGGUAAUACGGAGGAUGCGAGCUUUACCCGGUUUUAUUGGGUUUAAAGGGUGCGUAGGCGGAUUGUUAAGUCAGCGGUAAAAUGUUCGGGCUCAACCCGGGCAGGCGGUUGAAACUGGGGAUCUUGAGUGGGCAAGAAGUAUGCGGAAUGCGUGGUGUAGCGGUGAAAUGCGUAGAUAUCACGCAGAACUCCGGUUGCGAAGGCAGCAGACCGGCGCCCGACUGACGCUGAGGCACGAAAGCGUGGGGAUCGAACAGGAUUAGAUACCCGAGUAGUC
rnacentral:rRNA from 1 species